rnacentral:rRNA from 1 species
AUUGAACGCUGGCGGCAGGCCUAACACAUGCAAGUCGAGCGGAUGAGAGGAGCUUGCUCCUCGAUUCAGCGGCGGACGGGUGAGUAAUGCCUAGGAAUCUGCCUGGUAGUGGGGGACAACGUUUCGAAAGGAACGCUAAUACCGCAUACGUCCUACGGGAGAAAGCAGGGGACCUUCGGGCCUUGCGCUAUCAGAUGAGCCUAGGUCGGAUUAGCUAGUUGGUGAGGUAAUGGCUCACCAAGGCGACGAUCCGUAACUGGUCUGAGAGGAUGAUCAGUCACACUGGAACGGAGACACGGUCCAGACUCCUACGGGAGGCAGCAGUGGGGAAUAUUGGACAAUGGGCGAAAGCCUGAUCCAGCCAUGCCGCGUGUGUGAAGAAGGUCUUCGGAUUGUAAAGCACUUUAAGUUGGGAGGAAGGGUUGUAGAUUAAUACUCUGCAAUUUUGACGUUACCGACAGAAUAAGCACCGGCUAACUCUGUGCCAGCCGCCGCCGUAAAAC